GAUGGAAGAACGUAGCGAAAUGCGAUAAGUAAUGUGAAUUGCAGAAUUCAGUGAAUCAUCGAAUCUUUGAACGCACAUUGCGCCCGCCAGUAUUCUGGCGGGCAUGCCUGUUCGAGCGUCAUUACAACCCUCAGGCCCCCGGGCCUGGCGUUGGGGAUCGGCGGAGCCCCCCGUGGGCACACGCCGUCCCCCAAAUGCAGUGGCGGUCCCGCCGCAGCUUCCAUCGCGUAGUAGCUAACACCUCGCGACUGGAGAGCGGCGCGGCCACGCCGUAAAACACCCAACUCUUCUGAAGUUGACCUCGAAUCAGGUAGGAAUACCCGCUGAACUUAAGCAUAUCAAUAAGCGGAGGA
rnacentral:misc_RNA from 1 species